UACGAAGGGGGCUAGCGUUGCUCGGAAUCACUGGGCGUAAAGGGUGCGUAGGCGGGUCUUUUAAGUCAGGGGUGAAAUCCUGGAGCUCAACUCCAGAACUGCCUUUGAUACUGAAGAUCUUGAGUUCGGGAGAGGUGAGUGGAACUGCAGUGUAGAGGUGAAAUUCGUAGAUAUUCGCAAGAACACCAGUGGCGAAGGCGGCUCACUGGCCCGAUACUGACGCUGAGGCACGAAAGCGUGGGGAGCAAACAGG
rnacentral:rRNA from 1 species